CUACGGGGCGCUCCAGGCGCGAAACCUUUACAAUGCACGCAAGUGUGAUAGGGGAAUUCUAAGUGCUCAUGCAUAGCAUGGGCUUUUGCUAAGGGUAAAUACCUUGGCGAAUAAGUGGUGGGCAAGACUGGUGCCAGCCGCCGCGGUAACACCAGCGCCACAAGUGGGAAUCAGAUUUAUUGGGCCUAAAGCGUCCGUAGCCGGUUUAAAAAGUCUUUUGUGAAAUUGUUAGGCUCAACCUAGCAGCGUGCAGAAGAAACUUUUAAACUAGGGACCGGGAGGAGUGUGAAGUAUUCUUUGGGGAGCGGUGAAAUGUUAUAAUCCUUAGAAGACUACCUGUGGCGAAGGCGUCACACUAGAACGGAUCCGACGGUGAGGGACGAAAGCCAGGGGAGCGAUCCGGAUUAGAUACCCGGGUAGUC
rnacentral:rRNA from 1 species